ACGCUGGCGGCAUGCCUAACACAUGCAAGUCGAACGAAGGCUUCGGCCUUAGUGGCGCACGGGUGCGUAACGCGUGGGAAUCUGCCCCUUGGUUCGGAAUAACAGUUGGAAACGACUGCUAAUACCGGAUGAUGACGUAAGUCCAAAGAUUUAUCGCCGAGGGAUGAGCCCGCGUAGGAUUAGGUAGUUGGUGUGGUAAAGGCGCACCAAGCCGACGAUCCUUAGCUGGUCUGAGAGGAUGAUCAGCCACACUGGGACUGAGACACGGCCCAGACUCCUACGGGAGGCAGCAGUGGGGAAUAUUGGACAAUGGGCGAAAGCCUGAUCCAGCAAUGCCGCGUGAGUGAUGAAGGCCUUAGGGUUGUAAAGCUCUUUUACCCGGGAUGAUAAUGACAGUACCGGGAGAAUAAGCUCCGGCUAACUCCGUGCCAGCAGCCGCGGUAAUACGGAGGGAGCUAGCGUUAUUCGGAAUUACUGGGCGUAAAGCGCACGUAGGCGGCUUUGUAAGUAAGAGGUGAAAGCCCAGAGCUCAACUCUGGAAUUGCCUUUUAGACUGCAUCGCUUGAAUCAUGGAGAGGUCAGUGGAAUUCCGAGUGUAGAGGUGAAAUUCGUAGAUAUUCGGAAGAACACCAGUGGCGAAGGCGGCUGACUGGACAUGUAUUGACGCUGAGGUGCGAAAGCGUGGGGAGCAAAC
rnacentral:rRNA from 1 species